UACGUAGGGCGCAAGCGUUGUCCGGAAUUAUUGGGCGUAAAGAGCUCGUAGGCGGUUUGUCGCGUCUGCUGUGAAAACCUAAGGCUCAACCUUGGGCUUGCAGUGGGUACGGGCAGACUAGAGUGCGGUAGGGGUGACUGGAAUUCCUGGUGUAGCGGUGGAAUGCGCAGAUAUCAGGAGGAACACCCGAUGGCGAAAGGCAGGUCACUGG
rnacentral:rRNA from 1 species